GUGUGCCCUUCCCUUUUCUGAACUCAGCAUGAUGCCACUCAUAGGAUCCCUAGGGCUCAGGGUUUUCAUUGAGGGAAAAAGGUACUAGUGAUGGACUAGUGAUACCGCUGGUUACCAAUGACAAGUUCUGCUUUCCCAGAUGUUGAAUUUUGAACAGCAGAGAAGCACGGAGGCAAGCACAGAAAGCAAGUUUUAUUUAAAGAAUAAUAACAGACUCCUUUGGGGAGGAAAAAGGGGGCCAAGACUGGUAUCCAAAGAAGUGGGAGUGUUCUGCCCCUUUUAUAAAUUUUAGAUUCUCUUUGUACUCCUGCCCACUUCCCCCUUAUCUCCCUCCAUCUAGUGUAAGUGACAAGUUCUGGGAGAAUGCGCCAAAAAGGGGGAAACAAAAACAAUUAUUGGGGCAGGUUACCCUGCCAACAGAUUAGAGCAGGAGCAGGGGGAACACUUUGGAUGAAAGUGGGGCAGGGCAGCAUUUGAUUUUCUUCCCAAUCAGCUCCCACCUUCCCAACUGGACCCAAUUAUUUAUUAUCUAUAUUGAUUGUCUUUUUGUCUCCCCACCCCCCACUUCACUAGUAUUCUGAGGUGUUUUGCAGCAAGUCUACUCCCAUCUCAUCUCAAAGGGAGCACAGGGGAAUAUGGCAUGGCUAGAAUAUGGCAUGGGGAUAAGGAGAAACAAAGCAAGGAGACCCAGAUCUCAGAUAACCACCCACAAUUUUUGUUGGUCCUGGGUACUUGUGAGCCAGAUACCUAAUCAGAGGUGCCAUCUAACUAUCCACAAAUCUGAGCUAGCUGUUUCUCUGAAGUGAAGGGACAUUCUAGAUGACUUAUGUGCUUAGACAGCUAGCCUCAGUGUCACACUCCAGUUUCCUCUGAGUAGGCACCAACCACUACAGCAAAUUUUGACCAAGAAUAGAAACAAGUUGCACCACGCCUAGAAGUUUAAACAGUGCUCAGUCCAUCCUAAAGCAUAUCCCAAAACUUUCCACAAGCAUGGAAAUUAACUUCAGCUCCACAUUUCUACUGAGCAAAAUCACUGGUAUAGGUAAACCCUAGAUGAACAUUAAGCAGAUACAGGCACUUGUCUUCCAUGUUUAUAAAAAUUAUGUAUUUAUAAACACAAAAAUAAAAUAAGCACAGAUUCAUUUUGUCUAUUGUUUUGGGACAAAAUUAUUUUCAAAAUAUUGAAAGGUUAGACUUGAACUUCACUCAGUGUGAAAUAGCCCAUAUUGUGACUACUUAAUCUAUCCAACUGUUUUGACUUUAAAAUUUGUAUGUAGCUGAAUCAUUAUUCAAAAUAACUUACACUGAUGAAAAUGGAUAAUAGUCAAUUACUUAUAUUUGCUUAAUUUCUGAC
rnacentral:lncRNA from 1 species